CAUAAUAUUACAAUGAUCACGCCACGCCGCCGCCAACUUUAAAUCGGUUGGUGGCAGUGUAUAUAAAGCCGUCGAAAUUUAAAAACCGGAAUAACACAUAUUUUUGUGCAGAUCUAUAAAUCUAUUCUUUGUUUUCUCUUUAAUACUCAAAAACCAACAAAAAACCAAAAAUGGGCGCAGAAAAAGUAUCAAUGAACAUCGUCGUCGUCGGACAAGUCCAGUCUGCCAAGGCCACCAAGACCGUCACCAAGGCCACACCAGCCACCAGCCAAUUGAUGAACUGUUAAUUCAUGUAGCCUGUACAGUGUACAUUGCAAAACUCAAAAAAGCCAUAGCCCAAACAAUACAAUAAUUUGUAAUUCGUAUCCGCAAUGACUCCGCAAAAUAAAUCAAUCAUUUCCGUAUAACAUAA